AGCAUAAGUAAAAAGUUACUAUCGACACUAAAAUAACAUCCAACUAAUCAAAGGAUAAUUGAUACACAUGAUUCAGAUGAGACUCUUCCUUCUUCUCAAUUUAUAUUUGAUGAGCCAAAUGUGUUUGAUGGUUGGAGAUAAGUUUCGAGACAAAUUACAAGAUAAAUUUUGAUGGUUGAUAAGCAAUAGAAUUUGGCUGCAGCCACUAGUAAUUGCCCAAUUUUCCAAAUGAGAGACGUUCAAUUGGCGGACAACGUGUAAUUAGGCGGCGGAACAGUGGCAUAAUUUUCAUGAAGAUUACAUUAUUAUCUUAGUGUAUUUUUUUGAAUAAUUUUUAGUAGAUUUAUUUUAAACAUGUAUUUUGUACGUGAGACAUAAUUUUUAAUUUUAGUAGAUUAUUGUUUGUUCAAUUCUGAAUGAUAUAAUAAAAAUAAAUAUUCAGAUUAUUUA